UACAGAGGGGGCAAGCGUUUAUUCGGAAUUAUUGGGCGUAAAGGGCGCGUAGGCGGCUUUGCAAGUGGCGGGUGAAAUCCCUCGGCUUAACCGAGGAACUGCCUGCCAGACUGUGAGGCUUGAGACCGGGAGAGGUGAGUGGAAUUCCCAGUGUAGCGGUGAAAUGCGUAGAUAUUGGGAGGAACACCUGUGGCGAAAGCGGCGCACUGGACCACAACUGACGCUGAGGCGCGAAAGCUAGGGGAGCGAACAGG
rnacentral:rRNA from 1 species